UACGUAGGUGGCGAGCGUUGUCCGGAUUUACUGGGCGUAAAGGGUGCGUAGGCGGAUAUUUAAGUCAGAUGUGAAAACCCCGGGCUUAACUUGGGGACUGCAUUUGAAACUGGAUAUCUGGAGUGCAGGAGAGGAAAGCGGAAUUCCUAGUGUAGCGGUGAAAUGCGUAGAGAUUAGGAAGAACACCAGUGGCGAAGGCGGCUUUCUGGACUGUAACUGACGCUGAGGCACGAAAGCGUGGGUAGCAAACAGG
rnacentral:rRNA from 1 species